GAGUCCAGGGACAAGACCAACAGCUAUGGGGUCUUUCAGCUCACACAUGACAGAGUUUCCACGAAAACGCAAAGGAAGUGAUUCAGACCCAUCCCAGUCAGGAAUCAUGACAGAAAAAGUGGUGGAAAAGCUUUCUCAGAAUCCCCUUACCUAUCUUCUUUCAACAAGGAUAGAAAUAUCAGCCUCCAGUGGCAGCAGAGUGGAAGAUGGUGAACACCAAGUUAAAAUGAAGGCCUUCAGAUCCUGGCUCAGAGAGAGCACCCCUUCCUCUGCUGUACAUCCUGGAGUCAGGCGUCUCUAUCC
rnacentral:sRNA from 1 species